rnacentral:sRNA from 1 species
AACCUUGUGCCUUACUAUCUUUUGAAAUC